rnacentral:lncRNA from 1 species
UUUUCUAGCUCUAACAGUUCUGGUGAAUAUUAAAAGGAGGAAGUCUUUUGUUAAAAAAAAAAUAGCCUUCAAUUCAGUAGCAUCGUCUUUAUAAGCAGAGGAUGCACAAUCACCCACUUGCUGGUCACAGCUCUGCUUUAGGUCAUCUGAAGUCGAUUACUGCAUCCUUGGAGGAUGGUGUGAAAUGCCAGUGAAAUCGUGAGCUAAUUCAAUGACAUGCCCAUUGUUCCACUCAUUUAGGCAAACGCUUUUUCUGAACAGGGAAGAUUCUCGCAUAUUCCUUACAUACUAAAUUAACUCAAAAAACUUAAGAAUGAUACCCCACUGCUGCUUGUCUCUAGUUUUCAGCUUUCAUCCUGGCGGGCAAGACCCUCAGCAUCUUCUCAGUCAUAAAGUACUUGUGAGCAUUCAGAAAGGCCUAAGUUAACUAUCGUCGGGUUACACAGGUUUGGAAGCUUGAGCACAUUCUACGGCAUUUGUGGUAUGGCCUCUGUAGAUUUGAUAUCCUUAAUCAUAGAUAGCAGAUGGAGCUGUGAGACAAUGACCUUCCAGGGUCCCUUCCCCAAAUAGACUUAAUGCUACUACACUUCAAAAGCAAUCACUGUCCAUCCGCUCCAGGUCACCGUGCAGUACUGGCCAGGGGCCCGGGCUACCAGAAAGACACUAGCUAGAGUUGAAUGCUUAAUCUCCCUGCUCCCAAGUACAGACAAGAGGAGAGAGAGAGGCUCAUGGCUUUCUAGAGUUUUAUGUGCUUAAGCGCUGAUAGGAGCUACCUUUUGCUGCAUGUUGGUCACUCUGGAAUAUAAGACACCUGGGACAGCAGCUAAUGUGGCUAAGGAACAGUCAGGCCAGAUUUGUUGUUAUUUAUUUAGCAGAACACAGAAUCCAAGAAUCCUCAUGAAUGCCACUCAAAAGCAUGACUCAGGCAAAGGGAACAGACAAUAAAAGGAAUGACUUCACAUUUCACAGCAAGAAUUCUCUGGCCUCGGAGAACACUAGAUACCUCUGGACCACACAUCCCUUUGGCAAAAUACUUUUCUCAUCUACAGAUCACUGCAUGGCUUGGUUUACCUGAAGCCUCUUAUGGUUUCUCCACCUAAUAACCCUCAUGAUAUUUUUCUAGAAAAGCAGCAUAGAUGGAGAUGGAAUGUAACACCUGAAAUAAAAGGAUUUUGCAGGAAAUAAUGUAAAUCAAGCCUUUUGCCCUUAAUGACCCAUAAUAAAAUGCUCUUGCUACCAAGCUCUGCAGGCAACCCAGUGCAGGUUGCCAUGGAAAUGCCCAGCUGCUCCUCUGCGCAGUUGCUUAAUGAUCAGUGUGAUGCCAGGCUCUUGAGAGAAGCACAGGCUCAGACAACUCUUUACAGCCACAGGGACAGUCCACUCAGGACUGCAGUUACGUCUGAGUCGGAG